AAGUCGUAACAAGGUUUCCGUAGGUGAACCUGCGGAAGGAUCAUUAAGAGGUUGUGAGCGCGGUCGUCAAGGCUGCGCGAGCAAUGGAGAGGGUGUGGUUUUGAUGGGAGGAUGGUGGAGUGUGAUAGCUCCACUGUUCUUUUGUACAUCUAUUGCGAUUUGCAACCAAGUAUGAGCAAGUGAUUACGACACACAACUGUCACCGGUGGAUCUCUUGGCUCGU
rnacentral:misc_RNA from 1 species